rnacentral:rRNA from 1 species
UACGGAGGGUGCAAGCGUUAUCCGGAUUCACUGGGUUUAAAGGGUGCGUAGGUGGCUUUAUAAGUCAGUGGUGAAAGCCCGGAGCUCAACUCCAGAACUGCCAUUGAUACUGUUUAGCUUGAAUCAGGUAGAGGUGGAUGGAAUAUUACAUGUAGCGGUGAAAUGCUUAGAUAUGUAAUAGAACACCGAUUGCGAAGGCAGUUCACUAUGCCUGCAUUGACACUGAGGCACGAAAGCGUGGGGAUCAAACAGG